AUGCGCGGCUGCGCCUGCUCCACUGUCCAGGUGACACCGGUCGACGCCCCAACCGCGUGCCGCCGUAUACUGCUGCUCCUUCCCAUGAGCCACCUCGCCUUCUCCUCCGUGGAUAAGUUCGCCGACGAGCGAGGACUCCGGAUCGAGCCGGCCGACGCCAACCUGCUGGCGUGCCACCCCCCGCCCCAGCCAUCUCCUCCACCACGGUGCACCACUGCCUAUUCUAGCCAUGGGCAAGCACAAGUGCCACCCCCGGUGGUCAGUCCAGCUCCUGCAACCAAUACAGGUCGUUGCCCCUUUUGCCACAAUGGCAGCAGCACGAACACGAAUGUGGUCAUCCUCAACCAGUUCCUCACGCGGCCUCCACGCAAGCCCUGCUCAUGUAUGCUUACACCAAAAGUGCUUACUUGA
rnacentral:rRNA from 1 species